rnacentral:rRNA from 1 species
CAGCAGCCGCGGGAAUACGAAGGGGGCUAGCGUUGUUCGGAAUUACUGGGCGUAAAGCGCACGUAGGCGGAUACUUAAGUCAGGGGUGAAAUCCCGGGGCCCAACCCCGGAACUGCCUUUGAUACUGGGUAUCUCGAGUCCGGAAGAGGUGAGUGGAAUUCCGAGUGUAGAGGUGAAAUUCGUAGAUAUUCGGAGGAACACCAGUGGCGAAGGCGGCUCACUGGUCCGGUACUGACGCUGAGGUGCGAAAGCGUGGGGAGCAAACAGGAUUAGAUACCCGCGUAGUCCCUGUCUCUUAUAC